rnacentral:rRNA from 1 species
AACGAACGCUGGCGGCAUGCCUAACACAUGCAAGUCGAACGAGACCUUCGGGACUAGUGGCGCACGGGGUCGUAACGCGAGGGAACCGGCCCAUAUGUUCGGAAUAACUCUCCGACAGGGGUGAUAAUACCGGAUAAUGGCUUCGGACCAAAGAUUUAUCGACCUGGGAUGGGCCCGCGUGGGAUUAGCUAGUUGGUAAGGUAACAGCCUACCAAGGCAACGAUGCAUAGCUGACCUGAGAGGAUGAUUGGCCACACUGGAACUGAGACACGGUCCAGACUCCUACGGGAUGCAGCAGUAGGGAAUCUUCCGCAAUGGGCGAAAGCCUGACGGAGCAACGCCGCGUGAGUGAUGAAGGUCUUCGGAUCGUAAAACUCUGUUAUUAAGGAAGAACAUAUGUGUAAGUAACUGUGCACAUCUUGACGGUACCUAAUCAGAAAGCCACGGCUAACUACGUG